rnacentral:pre_miRNA from 1 species
GGUAGGAGCGCUGGAUCUUGGCCUGUGCCCCCAGUGCCCUGGGCUCCUGGGCCUGCGCCACUGGAACCGCGCUCCCGGCGCCAUGCAGCCCUCU